UAUGCCCUUAAAAUUGUUUUUUUCUAUUUCUUUUAAUUGAAUUGUAAUUCUGUUAAUUAAAAACCAGAAAAUAUAUAUCACCCCACUUAUCCCUCUCUCUCACACAUACACACACACAUUAACAAAGAACUCAACUUUUCAGAUCAAACGUUCACCCCAAAAAACCAUCUGUGCUCAUCAACAAAUUUUUCAGAUCACAGGUAGCUCAGAUCUGAAAUCGAUGCACCCCCUCCUUCUCUCACAAUCGCAUGUACUCUCCUUCUUGUUCUAGCUUCAAUCGACAAAAACCACGACCCUCCCUUCCUUAUUUUCUGUUCUGAUUCGAUUCUCACCACACCUUCUUCGAUUCAGAUCGCAUGAGGUUGGGAUGGUGAGUCUGGUGGUGCUAAUCGGAUUUUUGUGGUAAAUCAAGAAGAGAUGUGUGUUGGCUUGCGGGUAUGGUGGGUUAUGGUGGUCUGGUGGUGUGUGAUGUGGGUGACGUUAGAGGUGAUGAUCACAUUGAUGAACAGGGGAGAAGAAGGUGAGGAUAGCUGAUUAGAAGGGGUGACAACGGGAUGGCUGUAAUGGAGUUCAAGGUUGGUGGUGUAUGGUGGUGAUAGUACCGAUUACGAUCCAAAAAGAGAUCACAUCAAAUCCGGAACUUGAAUAAUUAAUCGUUAAUCAAGAUGAAGAAUGAAUGAGACAUACAAACAGGAUAGAAAAAAGGGAAAAUUGCGUAAUCUGAACCUUGACUUCUAGUGUUCUUCAAAAAUGGAGAACAACUUUGACCCCAACUUCAUGGGCUUCUACCUUGAUUUUUGAUUUGCAGGUAACAAGGGAUGGCAAUGGUAGUAACCGUCAAGGGAGUGAGGAAGAUGAUAAAGCUUUGGAUGGAUAAGGAAGUCGACGCUUUUCUUUCUGUGGGUUACACAUGUGUAGAGAGAGAGAGAGAGAGAGAGAGAGAGAGAGAGAGAGAGAGAGAGAGGGGGGGGGCAUCUUUCUCAAUUUUAA